UACGAACGCUGGCGGCAUGCCUAAUACAUGCAAGUCGAGCGAACAGAUGAAGUGCUUGCGCUUCUGACGUUAGCGGCGAACGGGUGAGUAACACGUAAGGAAUCUACCUAUAAGCGGGGGAUAACAUUCGGAAACGGGUGCUAAUACCGCAUAAUAUCUUCUUCCGCAUGGAAGAAGAUUGAAAGACGGCUCUGCUGUCACUUAUAGAUGACCUUGCGGUGCAUUAGUUAGUUGGUGGGGUAAUGGCUUACCAAGACGAUGAUGCAUAGCCGGCCUGAGAGGGUGAUCGGCCAACUUGGUACUGAGACGCAGCCAGAAACCCUACGGGAGGAAGCAGUCGGAAAUCUUCCGCAAUAGGCGAGAGCCUGACGGAGAAAUGCCGCGUGAGUGAAGAAGGCCUUCGGGUCGUAAAACUCUGUUAUAAGAGAAGAACAAAUUGUAGAGUAACUGCUACAGUCUUGACGGUAUCUUAUCAGAAAGCCACGGCUAACUACGUGCCAGCCGCCGCAGUAA
rnacentral:rRNA from 1 species